rnacentral:rRNA from 1 species
UAGGGAAUCUUCCACAAUGGACGCAAGUCUGAUGGAGCAACGCCGCGUGAGUGAAGAAGGUUUUCGGACCGUAAAGCUCUGUUGUUGGUGAAGAAGGAUAGAGGUAGUAACUGGCCUUUAUUUGACGGUAAUCAACCAGAAAGUCACGGCUAACUACGUGCCAGCAGCCGCGGUAAUACGUAGGUGGCAAGCGUUGUCCGGAUUUAUUGGGCGUAAAGCGAGCGCAGGCGGAAGAAUAAGUCUGAUGUGAAAGCCCUCGGCUUAACCGAGGAAUUGCAUCGGAAACUGUUUUUCUUGAGUGCAGAAGAGGAGAGUAGAACUCCAUGUGUAGCGGUGGAAUGCGUAGAUAUAUGGAAGAAUACCAGUGGCGAAGGCGGCUCUCUGGUCUGCAACUGACGCUGAGGCUCGAAAGCAUGGGUAGCGAACAGGAUUAGAUACCCUGGUAGU